UACGUAGGGCGCAAGCGUUGUCCGGAAUUAUUGGGCGUAAAGAGCUCGUAGGCGGUCUGUCGCGUCUGUUGUGAAAACUCGAGGCUCAACCUCGGGCUUGCAGUGGAUACGGGCAGACUAGAGUGCGGUAGGGGAGACUGGAAUUCCUGGUGUAGCGGUGGAAUGCGUAGAUAUCAUGAGGAAUACCAGAGGCGAAGGCGGCAUCCUGGACCAACACUGACACUGAUGAGCGAAAGCCAGGGGAGCAAACGGG
rnacentral:rRNA from 1 species